GAUGAACGCCAGCGGCAGGCCUAACACAUGCAAGUCGAGGGGCAGCACAGAAACAGCAAUGUUUUGGUGGCGACCGGCGGACGGGUGCGUAACGCGUAUGCAACCUACCUUUAACAGGGGGAUAACGGAGAGAAAUUUCCACUAAUACCCCAUAACAUCGAUCAAGGCAUCUUGAUUGGUUGAAAACUCCGGUGGUUAAAGAUGGGCAUGCGUUGUAUUAGGUAGUUGGUGAGGUAAUGGCUCACCAAGCCUACGAUACAUAGGGGGACUGAGAGGUUAGCCCCCCACACUGGUACUGAGACACGGACCAGACUCCUACGGGAGGCAGCAGUGAGGAAUAUUGGUCAACGGGGGCAACCCUGAACCAGCCAUGCCGCGUGCAGGAAGACGGCUCUAUGAGUUGUAAACUGCUUUUAAACAGGGAUAAAGCACAGUAUGUAUACUGUGUUGAAGGUACUGUAAGAAUAAGGAUCGGCUAACUCCGUGCCAGCCGCCGCAGUAA
rnacentral:rRNA from 1 species